AUUGAACGCUGGCGGCAGGCCUAACACAUGCAAGUCGAACGGUAACAGGAAGCAGCUUGCUGCUUUGCUGACGAGUGGCGGACGGGUGAGUCAUGUCUGGGAAACUGCCUGAUGGAGGGGGAUAACUACUGGAAACGGUAGCUAAUACCGCAUAACGUCGCAAGACCAAAGAGGGGGACCUUAGGGCCUCUUGGCAUCGGAUGUGCCCAGAUGGGAUUAGCUAGUAGGUGGGGUAACGGCUCACCUAGGCGACGAUCCCUAGCUGGUCUGAGAGGAUGACCAGCCACACUGGAACUGAGACACGGUCCAGACUCCUACGGGAGGCAGCAGUGGGGAAUAUUGCACAAUGGGCGCAAGCCUGAUGCAGCCAUGCCGCGUGUAUGAAGAAGGCCUUCGGGUUGUAAAGUACUUUCAGCGGGGAGGAAGGGAGUAAAGUUAAUACCUUUGCUCAUUGACGUUACCCGCAGAAGAAGCACCGGCUAACUCCGUG
rnacentral:rRNA from 1 species